UGGGGAAUAUUGGACAAUGGGCGCAAGCCUGAUCCAGCCAUGCCGCGUGAAUGAUGAAGGCCCUAGGGUUGUAAAGCUCUUUCAGCGAGGAGGAUAAUGACGUUACUCGCAGAAGAAGCCCCGGCUAACUUCGUGCCAGCAGCCGCGGUAAUACGAAGGGGGCUAGCGUUGUUCGGAAUCACUGGGCGUAAAGCGCACGUAGGCGGACUUUUAAGUCAGGGGUGAAAUCCCGGGGCUCAACCUCGGAACUGCCUUUGAUACUGGAAGUCUGGAGUCCGAGAGAGGUGAGUGGAACUCCGAGUGUAGAGGUGAAAUUCGUAGAUAUUCGGAAGAACACCAGUGGCGAAGGCGGCUCACUGGCUCGGUACUGACGCUGAGGUGCGAAAGCGUGGGGAGCAAAACAGGAUUAGAUACCUGUAGUCCACGCCGUAAACGAUGGAAGCUAGCCGUCAGGGUGCAUGCAUCUUGGUGGCGCAGUUAACGCAUUAAGCUUCCCGCCUGGGGAGUACGGUCGCAAGAUUAAAACUCAAAGGAAUUGACGGGGUCAUAGCUGUUUCCUG
rnacentral:rRNA from 1 species